AGAGUUUGAUCCCGGCUCAGGAUUAACGCUGGCGGCGUGCCUAAUGCAUGCAAGUCGAACGGUACUGAUGAGCUAAGCUUGCUUGGAACAUCAGGAUAGUGGCAAACGGGUGAGUAACACGUAGGUAACCUACCCUUAAGUGGGGAAUAACUUCAGGAAACUGAGGCUAAUACCGCAUGUGGUGAUGUGGCGGAAGCUACAUUACUAAAGCCGUAAGGCGCUUGAGGAUGGGCUUGCGUUCUAUCAGGUAGUUGGUGGGGUAAGGGCUCACCAAGCCGAUAACGGAUAGCUGGUCUGAGAGGACAACCAGCCACACUGGGACUGCGACACGGCCCAGACUCCUACGGGAGGCAGCAGCAAGGAAUAUUGCGCAAUGGGCGAAAGCCUGACGCAGCGACGCCGCUGGGGGAAUAAGGCCUUCGGGUUGUAAACCCCUUUUUUCUCAGGGAAGAAUAAUGACGGUACCUGAGGAAUAAGUCUCGGCUAAAUACGUGCCAGCAGCCGCGGUAAUACGUAUGAGGCAAGCGUUAUCCGGAUUCAUUGGGCGUAAAGCGCGCGCAGGCGGUAGGGUAAGUCCACUGUGAAAGCUCCCGGCUUAACUGGGAGAGGUCAGUUGAUACUACUUUACUUGAGGGCAGCAGAGGGAGGCGGAAUUCCCGGUGUAGUGGUGAUAUGCGUAGAUAUCGGGAAGAACACCAGCGGCGAAGGCGGCCUCCCAGGCUGUUCCUGACGCUGAGGCGCGAAAGCGUGGGAAGCGAACAGGAUUAGAUACCCUGGUAGUCCACGCCGUAAACGAUGGACACUAGGUAUAGGGAGUGUCGACCCUCUCUGUGCCGUAGCUAACGCGUUAAGUGUCCCGCCUGGGGACUACGGCCGCAAGGCUAAAACUCAAAGGAAUUGACGGGGGCCCGCACAAGCAGCGGAGCGUGUGGUUUAAUUCGAUACAACACGAAAAACCUUACCAGGGCUUGACAUGUUGGAAGUAGAAACCCGAAAGGGGGACGACCUGUUGAGUCAGGAACCUUCACAGGUGCUGCAUGGCUGUCGUCAGCUCGUGCCGUGAGGUGUUAGGUUAAGUCCUGCAACGAGCGCAACCCUUGUCGCUAGUUAAAUUCUCUAGCGAGACUGCCUCGAAAACGGGGAGGAAGGUGAGGAUGACGUCAAGUCAGCAUGGCCCUUACGCCCUGGGCUACACACACGCUACAAUGGGCGGUAUAAUGGGUAGCAAAGGAGCAAUCCGGAGCCAAUCCUAAAAGUCGUCCCCAGUUCGGAUUGUAGGCUGAAACUCGCCUGCAUGAAGUCGGAGUUGCUAGUAACCGCAUAUCAGCAUGGUGCGGUGAAUACGUUCUCGGGCCUUUUACACACCGCCCGUCACGUCAUGAAAGUCGGUAACACCUGAAGUCGAUGGGCUAACCCUUCGGGGAGGCAGUCGCCGAGGGUGGGGCUGGCGAUUGGGACGAAGUCGUAACAAGGUA
rnacentral:rRNA from 1 species